CUACGGGAGGCAGCAGUGGGGAAUAUUGCACAAUGGAGGAAACUCUGAUGCAGCAACGCCGCGUGGAGGAUGACACUUUUCGGAGCGUAAACUCCUUUUAUAUAGGAAGAUAAUGACGGUACUAUAUGAAUAAGCACCGGCUAACUCCGUGCCAGCAGCCGCGGUAAUACGGAGGGUGCAAGCGUUACUCGGAAUCACUGGGCGUAAAGAGCGUGUAGGCGGGUUAAUAAGUCAGAAGUGAAAUCCUAUGGCUCAACCAUAGAACUGCUUUUGAAACUGUUAACCUAGAAUAUGGGAGAGGUAGAUGGAAUUUCUGGUGUAGGGGUAAAAUCCGUAGAGAUCAGAAGGAAUACCGAUUGCGAAGGCGAUCUACUGGAACAUUAUUGACGCUGAGACGCGAAAGCGUGGGGAGCAAACAGGAUUAGAUACCCCAGUAGUC
rnacentral:rRNA from 1 species